rnacentral:lncRNA from 1 species
CGAACGAGAACUACUUUCAUGGCUCCAUUCCCCCAUCUAUCUUCAACAUGUCAUUUCUAGAAGUUUUGGAGCUAAGGAAUAAUAGUUUGUCUAGUAGUUUACCUCUUGAUAUUGUUGGGAAAUCAGUUCCCCAUCCAAACUUGGUAGAAGCAAGAAAUAAGAAUAAAAAUAGACACAAUUUAACAACACAAGAAUUUAACGUGGAAACUCCAAAUCCGGAGAAAAACCACGACACACUGAAAAAUUACUAUAUGAUAAAUUUCUACAAUCACACAGUAUUUCUCACCCUCUCGACUCACAACCACUACACUCUUACAAGCCUUUGAAAACCUCUCACCCCUCUAAAACAAAGAGCAAGGAAUUUCAAACUAGAAGUAAUCACAAGACUAAAGGUAGUGAUUGGUGCAAUUGUAUCAAAGACCUUGGAACUCCUUAAAUAGCCUAAGGGUCUCCACCUACUUUGAUAGCAAAACCAAUGUGGGACAAAAAUCCCCACUUUCAUUUUUAACACAAUUCCAACAAUCUCCACCUUGUUAAAAAUGAAAGAAAAAACACCAUUGUCUUCACCGACAAUCAUGAUUCUUAAUCACAAAGAACCAUCAUCCUCAAAAAAGAAUAAACCUAACUCCACCAAAUGAGUAGAACACUUAGAAUAAACCAUUCUAAAGAAUUUUACUUCGGCACAUGUCGAAAAAAACCUUGCUGAAAUUUUGGUGCAACCUUCUAGCUUUUGGCCCUCCUAGAAGUCAUCAGCCAUCGACAUACUUUUCACCACACACCUGCAUCCAUGCCAAAAAACCAUGCACAUGUGGUCCAACUAACAUCGUCACAUCCUCUAUCAUGGCCAUUGGACAUGCCAUAAGGAUAUUCAUGUCCUCAAAGGACAUCAUCAAACACGAUGUUAGCUGCUCGUUCGGAGCUUUCUGCCGAAUCCGCUCCACCUUGACAAGCUCCACCUGGACAGUUUCGCUUCGUAUGGCCGGGUUUUCCGCACCUCCAACAAACAACGCCCUUGGAGUCUUUCUUCCUCCCUCUGCUAAAGGCCACCAUUGCUGAAUUUUCCGAUGAAGGACGUCCUUCACUCAUCAGCCUUCUUUCUUCCAAAAGAAGUUUGCCCGUGACUUCAGCAAAGACCAGAGUUUCCUUCCCAUAAACUAAUAUUGGCUUCAUGUGUUCAUAGGAACGUGGAAGAGACAAGAUGAGUCUCAAUGCCUUAUCCUCAUCUUCAAUUUUCGCUCCAAUACUCUCCAGUUCAGAGAUAAUGCCAUUGAGAAUACUCAAGUGAUCUGAAAUCUUCACACCUUCAUCCAUCCGUAAGGUAUGAAAUUGUUCCUUCAAAUACAACCGAUUCGAGAUGCCUUUUGCUUGGUACAGAGCUUCCAGCUUUUCCCAAAGCUCCUUCGCACUCGAAAUCCCAUGUACAUUUGCAAGUACAUUCUUGGCCAAGCAGAGACGAAUUGUGCUUGCCGCCUUCAGAUCCAGAUCCUCCCAAUCUUCAUCACUCAUACCGGACUUGUUGUUUUGCGUCAUCAUCUGCACCGGGCUUUUUGACUGCACCCGGACUUCCUUUCAGGGCCUUGUGUAACCCAGAUUGUAUCAGCACAUCCUUGACUUGCACUUGCCACAAGCCAAAAUUUAUUAUUCCAUCGAAUUUCUCCACGUCGAACUUCAUUUGGACUUGAAGUUAACUUGACGUACCGCUUCUCCACCAAAAUGAACAGCCGUCUCGCAAGAGACACCCCGCCCGGAUCUUUCUCAAGAAAUCCUUUCUGAUGUGGAAGAUCAGACAAUGCUGCAACCACAGAGCAUACUUGGAAUAUCAAGAGACCUCAACCAGGCUCUGAUACCAAUUGUUGGGAAAUCAGUUCCCCAUCCAAACUUGGUAGAAGCAAGAAAUAAGAAUAAAAAUAGACACAAUUUAACAACACAAGAAUUUAACGUGGAAACUCCAAAUCCGGAGAAAACCACGACACACUGAAAAAUUACUAUAUGAUAAAUUUCUACAAUCACACAGUAUUUCUCACCCUCUCGACUCACAACCACUACACUCUUACAAGCCUUUGAAAACCUCUCACCCCUCUAAAACAAAGAGCAAGGAAUUUCAAACUAGAAGUAAUCACAAGACUAAAGGUAGUGAUUGGUGCAAUUGUAUCAAAGACCUUGGAACUCCUUAAAUAGCCUAAGGGUCUCCACCUACUUUGAUAGCAAAACCAAUGUGGGACAAAAAUCCCCACUUUCAUUUUUAACACAAUUCCAACAGAUAUGUGCAAACACAAUCUGCAUAGACUCAAGAGGCUUCGUAUAUCUUACAACAAGAUGUAUGGGGAAAUACCAUCGAGUUUGGAGAAGUGUUCACAGCUUGAGUAUCUUUCUUUGGUAAACAACACUUUCACUGGAUUUGUGCCGACAGAAAUUGGGAACUUGACGAAGCUUCAAAUGUUGCUCCUUGGUGUAAAUAAGUUGACUGGUAAGUUCAUUCCUAUAUUUAUGAGGUCAAAUCAUGCAUUUAAUGCCAUAUUAUUUAAUUCUUUAAUUUAUGUGCUUUAUGUUUGAGUGUCAAAUUUAAAAUUUAUCUCAGCUUAAUUGUAUGUAUAAACUCAAUUUGGACCACUAAUCAUUAUACAAUAAUGCAUACAACUGUAAGGAUGUGAUUUGUUGAUAAAGGAUUUUUCUUUUAUAACUCACACACAUCCUGGAUGACUCGAACCUCCAACCUGCAUCAUUUGAUCUUCUUUAAGUGGUAUGUUGUCUUGAAGUUGGUAUUUUAUGUUAUGCAUAAUUUCUCCUCUUUAAUUUCAACACUUUAAAUGGUGAGCUUACAUCCUCCAUCAGCAACUUGACAUUCCUUGAAAUACUUAUUCUCUCUAGUAUGUACAAGGUUUGGAAGGAUCAGUUGCACAAGGUUUUCGAAACUUUAGUGGUAAUAAAUUGCAAGGACCAUCAACAUUUACCAAUGGUUGGACUCUUUUUCGGUCAUUUUAAGUGAUAAUAAAUUGCAAGGAGCAUUACCUAGCUAAAUCCUUGAUCAAUUGUCAAAGUCAUAUAAUUGUGUCUUUCACAAAUUUAUAAAUGACUUUUCCAUAUAACAUUCAACAGAACUAGCAAGAAAUCUGAAAUACUUUGAGAUUUAAGUGGUUGAGGAUGAAGGAAACUGUUUAUUGCUUGGAGAUUUGCACAACGCAACAUAUAUAUUCCAUAAGAGAUUGGUUAUCUUCGUUGUUUAGAAACAUUGAGCAUGUAUUUUAAACAUUCUUUUUAUUGGAUUAAUGGUAAUUUAUUAAUACAUCGAUAAAUUAACAACUUUUUAGUUUAUAACGUAUUUUCUUGAUUUCAGAAAUUACAAUUAAAUCAAGUUAUAAUGAGUAAAAACUAAGAGAGAUAAUAUUUAAAUUAAAUAAAUUGAUGUAUCUAUCAAGUCAUUGUGGUUGAUAUUACGGGAGAUCCUAAUGAUGAUCAAGCUGAAGAUGAUUCAACAAUAAAUUCAAAUUGUAAAAAGUUAAAAUGGUAUAUUCAUAAUUGUAAUAUUUUAAUAAUAUUAAUGGCACCUAUAUAUACAAUAAUCUGCAUCUGGCCGGAAUACAGUCAUCGAGACAUUAAUCAAUAAGAAAAUUUUGACUUUACGACGCAAACAUUAAAAGGUUCAUAGGUUAGGGUGAUACAGUAAUGUUUUCAAUAUGCGUUUCAAUCUAGAAUAAAACUAACUUUUUGUGAUGAUUUGGAUAUUUGUAGGAGUUAUUCCACAAGAGAUUCAUCAUCUUCAUAAUUUAGGAGUGUUGGACUUGAGUUGGAACAAGUUGUCAGGCACUUUGCCACCAACCAUUUUCAACAUGUCUUCCUUGACAGCGAUUGACUUAUCAAGUAACACACUUAGCGGGGCAUUGCCUUCAGAAAUUGGGAACAUGAAAGCACUAUCUACUUUACUACUUCAGAACAAUUCUUUAACCGGUAAGAUUUCCAACUCUGGUAGAGUUUUACACAUAUUCAAAUGUUUCUUAAUUUUCAUGUAUAUUUAGCAUUUACAACCAUUGUGAGACCUUUAACUUCUUCUCAAAUCUGCAUUUCACUUUUCCAUAUAGCGUUUACAGCUAUGUUCUUCUCAAAUCUAUAUCGUCCUUUUUCUUCCAUUGAUUAGUGGAAUAUAUAUCAUUAUACUUAAUAGUAUACAGCUCAAUCUCCCAACCGAUCGAAUCACGUAUUUUACCUAUUAUUGUUAUGAUCGUUAUACUUAACAAUAUGGAACUUGACUUUGAUGACUUCAUUAUUCUCCAGGUACUAUUCCGAGAGAAAUUGGGAACAUGGAAGCACUACAGGCUUUAUACCUUAGAAACAAUGGUUUAACAGGUAAGAUUUCUUAUUGUUGUAGAGUUUUAAUUACAUAGCUCGGUGAACUUUUUGCACGAUUUAUUGUUCUCUGUCUUCCAUUGAUUAGUGGAAUAUAUAUCAUUAUACUUAAUAGUAUACAACUGAAUCUCCCAACCCAAUACUAGUUGUGUUUUUUCAUAAAUUAAUAAAUGACUUUUCCAUAUAUCAUUCAUUAGCACUAGUAAGAAAUUUGAACUACUUUGAAUUAAAUAUACUAUAUUUAAAAAGAAUGCAAUACAUUCGUCAUUAAUGUUAAACAAGAUGCUAAAUUUUAUGUAUACCAAUGUAAAUGUCUAGUUCAAAUAAUAGACAAAUGCUUAUAUAGAAUCAAAUAGUCGAUGUUGGUAAAAUGCUUUGUGCAUUUUUAGAAAUAAAGAAAUUUGAUUGAUAUCCUUUUCUAUCUUUCAAAUAAUAUAUUUGAAGGUUUCGCACCAACUUUCAGGUCAAAUACCAUCUACCAUUGGCAAUCUACCAUUAUUGAGUACUCUACAACUCUCUUCCAACAAAUUAAUCGAUAAGCUUUAGUUCCAUUCUCCAUCUGUAACUUGAAAAACCUUAAUACUCUUCUCCGCUCAACUAAUUAUUAUUCUUAUCAUCGUUAUACUUAACAACAUGGAACUUGACUUUGUUGACUUCAUUAUUCUCUAGGUACUAUUCCGAAAGAGAUUGGAAAUCUUCAUAAUUUGCAGGAAAUGUUGUUGGAUUCCAAUGAACUUAGCGGAUCAAUCCCGAGAGAAGUGGGGAACAUGACAGCUCUUCGCAACUUAUGGCUCCAGAAUAAUACUUUAAGUGGUAUGAUUUAUUAUUCACCUAGCCAUAUGUUUAGCUCCUCAAGCUAGCUCCUGUGUUAUCUUCUUUUUUUCAUACAUUGUGUUGUUAUUUUAUGUUCUUCAUAAUUUCUCCUCUUUUCAGGUCCAAUACCAUCUACUAUCAGAAACCUCUCUAAUUUGCAAGACUUAUAUCUUAGUUCAAACAAAUUUAGUGGUGAGCUUACAAUCAAUUGUCAAAGUCAUAUAAUUGUGUCUUUCACAAAUUUAUAAAUGACUUUUCCUUAUAACAUUAAUUAGGACUAGUAAGAAAUCUGAAAUAAUAGUAAGAAAUAUGAAAUACGCUAAACCUUCCAGCUGAUCGAAUCGCGUAUUUUACUUAUUAUUGUUAUGAUCGUUAUACUUAAGAAUAUGGAACUUGACUUUGAUGACUUCAUUAUUCUCCAGGUACUAUUCCGAAAGAACUUGGGAACAUGGAAGCACUACAGUUUUUAUACCUUCAAAACAAUGCUUUAACCGGUAAGAUUUCUAACUCUUGUGGAGUUUUACACAUUUUCAAAUGUUUCCUAAUUUUCAUGUAUAUUUAGCAUUUACAACCAUUGUGAGACCUUUAACUUCUUCUCAAAUCUAUAUUUGACUUUUCCAUAUAACAUUUACAGCUAUGUUCUUCUCAAAUCAAUAUUGUUCUUUGUCUUCCAUUGAUUAGUGGAAUAAAUAUCAUUAUACUUAAACAGUGUACAGCUCAAUCUCCCAUCCGAUCAAAUCACGUGUUUUUACUUAUUAUUGUUAUGAUCGUUAUACUUAAGAAUAUGGAACUUGACUUUGAUGACUUCAUUAUUCUGCAGGUACUAUUCCGAAAGAGAUUGGAAAUCUUCAUAAUUUGCAGGUCAUGUGGUUGGAUUCCAACGAACUUAGCGGAUCAAUCCCGAGAGAAGUGGGGAACAUGACAGCUCUGGCCAGCUUAAGCCUCGGCAAUAAUAGUUUAAGUGGUAUGAUUUAUUAUCACCUAGCCACAAGUUUAGCUCCUCUAGCUAGAUUGCGAGUUAAUUUCUUUUUCUCAUAUUUCAUUUGAUCUUCCUUUAAUUAUGUUGUCUUUGAAGUUGGUAGGGGUCAUUCAUUGUGUUGUUAUUUUAUGUUAUGCAUAAUUUCUCCUCUUUUCAGGUCAAAUCCCAAUCGAAGUGGGGAACAUUACAACUAUUGUCGGCUUAUACCUCUACGAAACUAAUUUAAGUGGUAUGAUUUAUUAUUGAGCUUGCCACAAGUUUAUCCCUUUUUUUGUCCUACUUUUGCUCUAGCAACGUUGUGUGUGAUUUAUUCAGGUAAAAGAUAGUAUAUUGUUUGAUAAGUCAAAUUAAACACAUGCAAACGUAAAAGAAGUUUAAUAGGGUUUUCGGAUUUGUUAUCACAAUUAUAAAUUCGAAUAGAAUAAUAUUUGAUAAUAUUGGACAAUGUUAGAUACUUCGUCCACAAAAAAUAGUCAUAGAAGGGGACGAUACGGGUUUAGAGUUAGACGAUUUUUGGGACUGUAACUUAAGUCGAUUUGGAAAUUAGGACAAAAAAAUUUUGAGGUUGUAAACACUAAUUAAUAAGUGUUGCAUCUGCUGGACAUUUAUCGGUCAUUAUCAAAUUUUUGGGCUUACACGCAUGGACCAAACAGAAGACAACCCACACGAAAGGGUUGAUUAUGUGGCAAGUACGUCACUUUUAGGACUCCAGAUAGGAUGUCAUGUGUUUGGUCCGUGCGGGAAAGUCCGAAAAUUCGAUAAUCGGUCGAGAAAUAUCUGCGAGUGCAAUGCUUAUUAAUUAGUGUUCUAUUUUUACAAGUCUGGAAGUUUUUGUCCUAAUUUCUAAAUUAACCGAAGUUAUUGUCCUAAAAAAUUCUCUAACUCCGGGUUUUAAUAAAAAUAGUUGAGUGUAUUAAUUGUAAGUGGAGAAAAUGUCCCACUUAAAAAGUAAUGUUCAUAAUCAUAAAUAACUGUUUUGUGAGUGGAGAUUGAGGUCCACCAUGUAAUAGAAUGUUUCCAAAAUUAGAAAGAGACUAAUUUUUGUGAACAUCCCAAAAUGGCGAAUAAUGAUUAUUGUGAACGAAGUAUAUUAUUUUACAAUCGGCAUGAUUUAAAAAGACAUGUCCCGCAUGUUUAAUAUUAGAACUCUUUGUCGCUCACACACAAAUUUCCUCCAGGUACUAUUCCGAAAGAGAUUGGCCAUCUUAAUAAUUUAGAGAGAUUGUGGAUGUAUUCUAACAAAUUUAGUGGAUCAAUCCCAAGAGAAGUGUGGAACAUUACAGCUCUUGUCGACUUAUACCUCUACGAUAAUACUUUAAGCGGUAUGAUUUCUUAUUUAGCUAGCCACAAGUUUAUCCCUUUUUUUACUUUUUCUCUAGCAACGUUGUGUGUGAUUUAUUCAGGUAAUAGAUAGUAUAUUGUUUGAUAGUCAAAUUAAACAGAUGCAAAGUAAAAGAAGUUUAAUAGGGUUUUCGGAGAGCUUUUAUUCAGGUAUAAGAUAAUACUUCCUCCGUCCAUAAAAAAUAGUCAUAGAAGGGGACAACACGGGCUUUAGAGUCAGAGGAUUUUUUAGGAUAGUAACUUAAGUCGAUUUGGAAAUUAGGAUAAAAAAUUUUGAGCUUGUAAAAAUAGGAUACUAAUCAAUAGGUGUUGCACCUGCAAGAUAUUUAUCUGCCAUUAUCAAAUUUUCGGGCUUACCCGCACGGACCAAACACAUGACAACCGGCACGGAGGGGUUGAUAAUGUGGCAAGCACGUCAAUUUUAGGGAUCCAGAUAGGAUGUCAUCUGCUUGGUCCGUGCGGGAAAGUUCGAAAAUUCGAUAAUUGAUCGAGAAAUAUCAUGCGGGUGCAAUUCUUAUUGAUUAGUGUCCUAUUUUUACAAGCCCGAAAAUUUUUAUCCUAAUUUCCAAAUUUACCUAAGUUACUGUCCUAAAAUUAUUCCAAAAUUAGAAAGAGACUAAUUUUUGUGGAAGUCCCAAAAUGGCAAAUAAUGAUUAUUGUGAACGGAUGAAGUAUAUUAUUUUACAAUCGGCAGGAUUUAAAGAGACAUGUCCCGCAUGUCCAGUAAAUAUAUACUUUCUCCUUCCAUGAAUGAACUUCCUAUUUUUCCUUUUAAGGAUGUCAAAAAAAAAAAAAAAAAAAAACUUUCUACCUAUUUUUGGACUAUAUGUGUAAUACUUCAUUACCUUUAUUUUUCACCUUUUUUCUCCACUCUCAAUAUCAAUAAUUUUUUCUUCAUUCUCAAUAUAUUCAACAACUUUUUUUCUACACUCUCUAUAGAAUCUAACUACUUAACUAGAUAAAUAGAAAUGGCAAUAACUCACUAACAUAAAUUAAAUUGGGUACAUAUCUCGUAAACUUUAAAUUCUAUAUAUAUGUUAUCAUGCAUACCAUGAGAUGUAUGUGUUUGAUAAAUCAAUAAACCUUAUACAAAUAAAUAAUUUUUGGACGUAAGAAUUUUAUCGAUGAUUAAUGGUAAUUUAUUAAUAUAUCGAUAAAUAUAAUUAAUUUAUAAAGCAUUUUCUUAAUUUCAGAAAUUAUAACUAAAUCAAGUUAUAAUGAGUAAAAACAAAGAGAGAUAAUAUUUAAAUUAAAUAAAUGGAUGUACCUAUCAAGUCAUUGUGGUUGAUAUUACGGAAGAUCCUAAUGAUGAUCAAGGUGAAGAUAAUUCAACAAAUCAAUCAAAUUGUAUAAAAUAGUAUUCAUAAUUGUAAUAUAUUAAUAAUAUUAAUGGGACCUAUAUAUACAAUAAUCUGCGUCGGGCCGGAAUUCAGUCAUCGAGACAUUAAUAAAUAAGAAAAUUUUGACUUUAUGACGUAAAACAUUAAAAGGUUCAUAGGUUAGGGUGAUAAGUAUAUUUUCCAUGUACGUUUCAAUCUAGAAUUAAACUAACUUUUUGUGAUGAUUUGGAUAUAUAUUUGUAGGAGUUAUUCCACAAGAGAUACAUCAUCUUCAUAAUUUACUAAAUUUGGGCUUAAGUUUGAACAAGUUGUCGGGCCAAAUACCAUCCUCCAUUUGUAACUUGACAUCCCUUGAGUAUCUUGUUCUCUCAAAAAACAUUUGGAAGGAACAAUUCCACAAUGCUUGGAAACUUGAGCUCUUUGGCCAUCUUUGGUCGUCGCAUUCCAUCAACAUUUAGCAAGGAGUGUAGUCUUGUGUCCAUCAAUUUGAAUGAUAAUAAAUUGCAAGGACCAUUACCUAAAUCCUUGAUCAAUUGCCAAAGUCUACAAGGCCUCGACAUUGGAAAUAAUAGAAUAGAAGACGAAUUUCCCUUUUGGAUGGAAGUCCUUCCAGACCUUCGAGUGCUGGUCUUGAGGUCUAACAAGUUUUAUGGUAACAUGUCACUUCCUUCACAAACCAAGAUUCCAUUUCCUAAUUUGCAAGUUUUAGAUAUAUCUCAGAAUAGAUUUGUGGGUUCUCUGCCUCAAACAUAUUUCAAGAAUUUCAGAGCAAUGAUAAAUAAAACAAACUGGCCAAUUACCGACUACUUUGGUUCAUAUUUGGGGAUGAGGCUCACCUUGAAAGGUUUGGAUCAAUUAUUAGAGAGAUUGUUGUCAGACUUUACAGCAAUUGACUUAUCCUCCAAUAGGUUUUCUGGGAGUAUUCCAGAUUCCAUAGGAAAUCUUAAGAUUCUCAAAUACUUGAAUUUGUCCAACAAUAACCUCAUAGGAAAUAUACCUUCAUCUCUUGCAAAUAUGAGUGAACUUGAAUCCUUGGACUUGUCAGAGAACAAGUUGGAUGGAGAAAUUCCAGGUGAUUUGACGAGGUUGACAUUUCUUGCGAAAUUAAACCUUUCAAUGAAUAAUCUUGUGGGGCAAAUACCACAGUCUAAGCAGUUUUCCACAUUUGAGAAUGAUUCAUACGUGGGAAACUUGGGACUGUGUGGAGUUCCGUUGACAAGAAAAUGCAAUGAAGAGAACGGGCAUCAGAUGCAGCCAGAAGAAGAAGAUGAUGACUAUUAUGGAUUUAUAGAUGGAUUCGGAUGGAGAAGUGUGGUGAUGGGAUAUGGAAUUGGAUUCAUAGUUGGGAUUGGAAUUGGUUACAUCAUUAUUAGAAAUGGAAGGCCAAGAUGGUUAGUGGAAUUAUUUUUCGGUGUUUAAUGUAAUAAUAAUAAGAAGAGGAGGCGUGUGUGGAACAUGAAUCCAGUUGAUUUAUUGGAAGCUGAUUCUGGGGAUAUUCAUCAAACAGGUGGCGAGCACAAACUUGCUUUCUAAUAGAGAUACCCAUUCAGUCCGCCACCAGUCAAGACUUUGAGUCUCCAACAAAGUUAGCAGGGAUUUGGUCUUGUUUCUGGUUUUAUUUAUGGUUUAUGACAUAGGUGUAUCAUUCAAUCAAUGCAGCUUUGAUUUUUAUUUCUAUGUGAUAUUGAAGUACUAGUACUAAAUAAUAUAUGGAAUUCUGCAUCUCAGCAUUGAUGAGUUUGAUAACUUGAUUAUGCAUUUUCAGAAGUUUAUUUUUUGUCUCCAACAUUGGUUUUUGAUGUUUUUGCUAAAGCUUGUUUUUGGUCCAGUAAUUAUUGUUAUAAGAAAAAAUAAUUAUUGAUAUAAAUAAAAGUAAUGUUUCUAGAUUAUUACAUUAGUUCCGAUAAUUGCUACUUUAAUUUAUGAGAAUUUGUACUUUUAAUUAUUUGAUCAAAUAAUUAUUGGUGUAACCAAAAGUAAUAAUUGUUGUAAUAUACAAAGUAAUUAUUUUAAUGAAGAAAUGUCAUAAACAUUACAUUUCUUCACAAUAAUUUUUGUACGUAAAAGUAAUUAUUGGUGUGAAGAAAAGUAAUGUUAUAUUCACAAGUUAAUACUUUUAUUCAUAAUUAUUUGGUCAAGUAAUUAUUAUCGUAACAAAAAGUAUUGUUAUAAUGNCAAAAAUACUACACGUGAAUCUAGUUGGAACAGAUUCUUUUAAGCCUAUGAACUGUUCGACAAAAUUCCGAAACGAAGACGACGCAGAGAAAAUACCUCAAAACAUUUAUCAUAUCAUAUGAGUUGAAACGGCCUCAAACUCAAAUUGAUUUGGGGAAAUGAUAAAACACCACAAAGGCAAAUCGUUGGUUAACUUAUAAAUCAUUUGUUUGUAUUUGUUGCUUAAUUUAUAAAUAAUGUUUUAUACAUUUUUUUCUUUUUGGCUCUUGUUUUAUGCAAAAUAUCUUACUUCUUAUUCUAUAUAAAAGUAGAAAAAAAAAUUGAGUUUGAGUUUGGACACGCACUAUGUAACUAUAUUAACAUUUAUUGAAACAAAAAAAUUAUUUAUUCAGUGGUUGAAUAUCUUGCAUUUCUGCUGUUUAUAAGGAGAUUGUAUUUUGCAGUGUUUCUAUAGCGAAUAGCGAGCUGUUGGAACUCUGUUUUGUGUAAUCAGUUAGCUAAGUAGAAGUUUUAGAAGGCUGUCUAGUUUAGUGGUUGAAUAACUUUUGUUCUGCAUUUUUUGAUGAAAUUGUUUUUAUUGGCUUUUUAAGUCAUUCCUUUUAUCAGAAAAUUACACACACACAAUCACACGACACAAGGAAAUUCAUAAGAAUAAAUGACGAAUGUUUUAAAUGUGAUGAAUUGUAGAGUGGCUGAGCAAAUUAGAUGGCUUAAGCUACUACAUACAACACGUAAAUCUUUCUUUAAAUUAAAAAGUCAAUAUCUGAAAUUUUUUAUAAAAACAUGUGGGCUGGUAUGAACUUAAAAUUGUGGUGAUAAAAAUGGGCCUGAAAAACAUAUUAUACUAUCUCCACUCAAUAUUAAGUAAGGCCCAAUCUAGAUAAGCUGAAAAAUAUUUUUUCGUAGGCCCAAAUUAAAUUAAAAUCUCUAGAAUUUAAAUUUCCAUAUUUAAGACAAAAUCUCCAAUUUUAAAGCCUUACAUCUAACUGGGGGUGCGAUUAGACAAAUUCAUAAACUAAAACAUAUAAUAAAAUUUUCAAUGACUUCAUAAUAUUUAAACUUUAAAUAACUCAAACAUAAAUAAUUUUAAAUAAAUAAAUUAGUUUCGGGCUGUCACAUACUUGAAAUGAAACGACUUUGUUUCUUAUUAAUUUAAAGGGGUUAUUGCCGGAAAAUACAUGUAGUUUGUCAAUUUUCUGGUUUAUAACAUGACCUUAUAAUUUGACCAGAAAAUACACCAAUUUUCAAUUUAAUCGCAAUUAUAACAUGACUUUGUAGCUUGACCAGAAAAUACACCAGUUUUCAAUUUAAUUGUAAUUAUAACAUGACUUUAUAAUUAAUUUAGUNNNNNNNNNNNNNNNNNNACUUAAUUUUUAUAAAAAUAAAUCAAUCAAUUAACAAUAUUUUAUACAUAACAAUUUAAUAUGAAUUUACAAUAAAUAUUAAUACAUCUAUGAUGAACAAUAAUCUAAAUAAGGUCAUGUUAUAAUUUAGAUUAAAUUAAAACUUGGUGUAUUUUCUGGUCAUACUAUAAAGUCAUGUUAUAAUUGCAAUUAAAUUGAAAAUUGGUGUAUUUUCUGGUCAAAUUAUAAGGUCAUGUUAUAAACCAAAAAAUUGACAAACUACAUGUAUUUUCCGGCAAUAACCCCUAAUUUAAAAUCCCUCUCUUACACAUGAAAUAACCUAAGUCAAAAUCCCUCUCCUGUGCUUGGAAAUUCAUUGAUGGAUUUCAGCGCCAUUCAUGAAUUCGAGGACGAGCGUGAGUUGUUGUCCAUGGACAUGGCUAUCUUAUUAUUAAAAUAUCAUGGAAAAAAAUCAGAAUUUGUGGAAAUUUUGUGUAUUUUACAGCUUAUUAUUAUUAUUAUUAUUAUUUACUCAAAAUGACUGGAAUUCAAAUUGCAACAAUUGCUCUAUUUUCAAGGGGCAAUUGUGUAGAAUUUGGUUUUAAAUUGCAAAGUGUGAAUUACCCUUUAUUAUAUCUUAUUCAAAGAUCACAAAAAGAGGAUUUAAAGUCUCCCAAAUCUAUUAACAAAAUAGAGAAUAUCUUCUGCUUUUUCACGUUAUUCUAUAGUGCUAUUUUAAUAUGAAUUUUAGGGUCAUUUUUUAUGAUUUGAGUUAGACUCAAUCUCCCAAAUCGAACAGAAAGUAGAGAGUAUUUGCAAUAUUAAAUUGAAGAUCAAAUUGGUAGACAGCUGGAAUUGUUUGAAAGUUUGAACAAAGCAAAACAUGUUUGGACGUUGACGUUGACUUGCCUUGACUUUAGCUUUCAAUAUAAAUAGUCUUUGUCUUUUUCACACUCAUCAUUAUUUUCUUCGUCUUCGUCUUCGUCUUCGUCUUUCCAGUGGGAAAAUGAUUAUUUUAGCUUUGAAUAAUGCUUCCCAUUUGUCCAUCAUAUCCACACACACACUAUAUAUACAUGUACAUGGAUUUCGUAGUUCAAUAUACUAAAAAAUUACGUCAAAAUCAAGCCAAAAAAUGGAAAAAUCUCCUCUUUUUCUCAUCCUUGCACUACUCUUACCAAUCCAUUAUUUGAUGGAUUAUAGCUCUGCCAAAAACGAUAUCAACACCGAUCGUUCUUCACUCCUUGCCUUAAAAUCUCAAAUCACUUCAGACCCUCAAAACAUAUUGACCAAAAAUUGGAGCACUGAAGCCAUUGUUUGCAGUUGGAUCGGAGUUACUUGUGAUUCACGUUACAAUAGGGUUACUCAGCUGAAUAUAUCGUACAUGGGUCUUGUCGGAACCCUCCCACCAGAAAUCGGGAAUCUUUCUUCUCUCGUCUCUUUAGAAGCGAAUCAUAACUCUUUUCAUGGCCCCAUUCCCCCAUCUAUCUUCAACAUGUCAUUUCUAGAAGUUUUGGAUCUACGGAAUAAUAGUUUGUCCAGUAGUUUGCCUCUUGAUAUGUGCAUACACAAUCUGCAUAGACUCAAGUGGCUUCGUAUAUCUUACAAUGAGAUGUAUGGGGAAAUACCAUCGAGUUUGGGGCAGUGUUCACAGCUUGAGUAUCUUUCUUUGUACAAUAACAAUUUCACUGGAUUUGUGCCCAGAGAAAUUGGGAACUUGACGAAGCUUCAAAUAUUGUACCUUGAUGUAAAUAAAUUGACUGGUAAGUUGAUUCCUAUAAUUAUGAGGUCAAAUCAUGCAUUUAAUGCCUUAUUAUUUAAUUCUUUAAUUUGUGUGCUUUGCGUUUGAGAGUCAAAUUUAAACUUUAUAUCGGGUGAUAAGUAAUAUUUUUCCCUAUACGUUUCAAUCUAGAAUUAGCUAGACUAACUUUUUGUGAUUAUUUGGAUAUUUGAAGGAAUUAUUCCACAAGAGAUUCAUCAUCUUCAUAAUUUACGAGAGUUGGACUUGAGUUUGAACAAGUUGUCAGGCACUUUGCCUUCAGAAAUUGGGAACAUGAAAGCACUACAGGAUUUAUACCUUGAAAACAAUGCUUUAAACGGUAAGAUUUCUAACUCUUGUAGAGUUUUACACAUAUUCAAAUGUUUCUUAAUUAAUUUUCAUGUAUAUUUAGCAUUUACAUCCUUUGUGAGAUCUUUAACUUCUCAAAUCUAUAUUUGACUUUUCCACACAGCAUUUACAGCUAUGUUCUUCUCAAAUCAAUAUUGUUCUUUGUCUUCCAUUGAUUAGUGGAAUAAAUAUCAUUAUACUUAAACAGUGUAUAGCUCAAUCUCCCAUCCGAUCAAAUCACGUGUUUUUACUUAUUAUUCUUAUGAUAGUUAUACUGAAGAAUAUGGAACUUGACUUUGAUGACUUCAUUAUUAUCCAGGUACUAUUCCGAAAGAGAUUGGAAAUCUGUAUAAUUUACGGUUUAUGUGGUUGUAUUCUAACAAACUUAGCGGAUCAAUCCCGAGAGAAGUGGGGAACAUGACAGCUCUGGGCAGCUUACACCUCGAGAAUAAUAGUUUAAGUGGUAUCAUUUAUUGUUUCCCUAGCCACAAGUUUAGCUCCUCAAGCUAGCUUGCGAGUUAAUUUAUGUUAUGCAUAAUUUCUCCUCUUUCCAGGUCCAAUGCCUAAAUCCUUGAUCGAUCAAAUGUCAAAGUCUAAAUAAAAAUAACAAUAACUCACUAACAUAAAAUAAAUAGUGUACAUAUCACGUAAACAUUAAAUUCUAUAUAGUAUAUGUUAUCAUACCUUGAGAUGUAUGUGUUUGAUAAAUUAGUAUGACCCCCAAAUUUCUCAAAAAUUAUAAUAAACCUUAUACAAAUAAAUAAUUUUGCGGCCUAAGAAUUUUAUCGAUGAUUAAUGGUAAUUUAUUAAUAUAUCAAUAAAUUAACAACUUUUUAGUUUAUAAAGUAUUUUCUUAAUUUCAGAAAUUACAAUAAAUCAAGUUAUAAUGAGUAAAAACAAAGAGAGUUAAUAUUUAAAUUAAAUAAAUGGAUGUAUCUAUCAAGUCAAUGUGGUUGAUAUUACAGGAGAUCCUAAUGAUGUUCAAGUUGAAGAUGAUUCAACAAUAAAUUCAAAUUAUAAGAAGUUAAAAUAGUAUUCAUAAUUGUAAUAUUUUAAUAAUAUUAUUUUAAUUAUAAUAUUAAUGGGACCUAUAUAUACAAUAAUCUGCAUCGGGUCGGAAUCCAGUCAUCGAGACAGUAAUCAAUAAUUAGAAAAUUUUGACUUUAGGAUGCAAACAUUAAAAGGUUCAUAGGUUAGGGUGAUAAGUACUCCCUCCGUCCACGAAUAAAUACUCAUAUUCUUUUUGUCCGUCGAAAUGUAUCCCACACAAUCCUUUAAUUAAUACUCUUAAAAAGUGGGAUCCUUAUUCUACUCACACUACACUCAAUACAUUGCUUAAAACUCGUGCCGUCCACAAAUGGGUACUCAUUUCGUGGAUAGAGUGAAUAAUAUUUUCCAUGUACGUUUCAAUCUAGAAUUAAACUAACUUUUUUUUGAUGAUUUUAAUAUAUAUUUGUAGGAGUUAUUCCACAAGAGAUUCGUCAUCUUGAUAAUUUACAAGAGUUGGACUUGAGUUCAAACAAGUUGUUUGGCACUUUGCCACCAACCAUUUUCAACAUGUCUUCCUUGACAUUGAUUGACUUAUCAAGUAACACACUUAGCGGGGCAUUGCCUUCAGAAAUUGGGAACAAGAAAGCAAUACUAGAGUUUUUAAACCUUCAAAACAAUUCUUUAACCGGUAAGAUUUCUAACUCUUGUAGGGUUUUACACAUAUUCAAAUGUUUCUUAAUUUUCAUGUAUAUUUAGCAUUUACCGCCAUUGUGAGACCUUUAACUUCUUCUCAAAUCUAUAUUGACUUUUCCAUAUAGCAUUUACAGGUAUGUUUCUGAAAUCUAUAUUGUUCCUUGUCUUCCAUUGAUUAGUGGAAUAAAUAUCAUUAUAGUUAAAUAGUACACAGCUCAAAAUUUCCUCAAGCUAGCUUGCAAGUUAAUUUCUUUUUUUUGGGAUUCCCACAAACUUAGUGGAGCUUUGCACGCACAAAUUUGGAAUAUUAGAACUCUUUGUCGCUCACACCUUUUUAACAUUUAUUUAACUUUUCCGCCAGGUACUAUUCCUAAAGAGAUUGGAAAUCUUCAUAAUUUGCAGGACAUGUGGUUGUAUUCCAACAAACUUAGUGGAUCAAUCCCGAGAAAAGUGGGGAACAUGACAGCUCUUGACCAGUUAGGGCUCGACAAUAAUACUUUAAGUGGUAUGAUUUAUUAUCACCUAGCCACAAGUUUAGCUCCUCAAGCUGGCUUGCGAGUUAAUUUCUUUGUCUCUUAUUUCAUUUGAUCUUCUUUAAUUAUGUUGUCUUAUUUCAUUUCGUGUUGUUAUUUUAUGUUAUGCAUAAUUUCUCCUCUUUUCAGGACCAAUGCCUAAAUCUUUGAUCGAUCAAUUGUCAAAGUCUAAAUAAAAAUAACAAUAACUCACUAACAUAAAAUAAAUAGUGUACAUAUCACGUAAACUUUAAAUUCUAUAUAUNGAUCAUAGACUCCUUCUUUAAGUAGAAAUAAUCCAUGAUUAUCUUGUUGAACUUUAAUGUCGAUCCUUUAAAGAUAAAAAGUCCAUGACAAGCUUGAAGUCUAUCCUUAAUAUGAAAGAAGUCCACAACGAAUAGAUCUUUGAGGAGAGAUUGAAUACUUCAACAAAACCUUGUGCAAAUUUGAAAAGGUAUCUUUUGAGAAUAUUCUGGUACUGACGGUAUCACAUCAGGUAGCUCUGAUGGUAUCAAUUGAUAGCAAAAUGUCUAUAGAAAUGACGACAACAUAACAGAGUAAACAAUACUCUAACAAAUAUCAUUAUACUUAAAUAGUAUACAUACAGCUCAAUCUCCCAACCGAUUGAAUCGUAUAAUUUUACUUAUUAUUGUUAUGAUCGUUAUACUUAACAAUAUGGAACUUGACUUAAUUUGAUGACUUCAUUAUUCUCCAGGUACUAUUCCGAAAGAAAUUGGAAAUCUUCAUAAUUUGAGGUGGAUGUGGUUGCAUUCUAAUAAACUUUGCGGAUCAAUUCCGAGAGAAGUGUGGAACAUGACAGCUCUGGGCAGCUUACACCUCGGCUAUAAUAGUUUAAGUGGUAUCAUUUAUUAUCAUCUAGCCACAAGUUUAGCUCCUCAAGCUAACUUGCGAGUUAAUUUCUUUUUCUCAUAUUUCAUAUGAACUUCUUUAAUUAUGUGGUAUGUUGUCUUUGGAGUUGGUAGGGGUCAUUCAUUGUGUUGUUGUUUUAUAUUAUUCAUGAUUUCUCCUCUUUUCAGGUCCAAUACCAUCUACCAUUGGAAACCUAUCACGUUUAUGGCACUUAAAUCUUGCUUCCAACAAAUUCAGUGGUGAGUUUCCAUCCUCCAUCAGCAACUUGACAUAUUCUUUGAAAUACUUAAUCUCUAGUACAUAACAGUUUGGAAGGUUUUCGAAACUUUAGCAAAUCUUUGAUGAUCUUUCGUUUAAACACAAACCAAUUUAGUGGUAUUAAAUUGCAAGGACCAUCAACAUUUACCAAUGGUAGUAAUCCUUUUCAGUCAUUUUUUUAGGGGAUCUUUUCCGGUCAAUUUAAGUGGUAAUAAAUUGCAAGCAACAUUACCUAAAUCUUUGAUCAAUUGUCAAAGUCAUAUAGUUGUGUAUUUCACAAAUUUAUAAAUGACUUUUCCAUAUAGUAUUCAUUAGGUCUAGUAAGAAAUCUGUUGAAAUUAAAUAUACUAUAUUUAGAAAUAAUGCAAUACAUUCGCCAUUAUGUUAAACAAGAUGUUGAACUUUAUGUAUACCAAUGUAAAUGUCUAGUUCAAAUUACAGACAAAAGCUUAUAUAGAUUAAAAUUGUCGAUGUUGGUAAAAUGCUUUGUGCUUUUUUAGAUAUAAAGAAAUUUGAUUCAUAUCAUUCUCUAUCUUUCCAAUAAUAUAUCUGAAGGCCUCGUACCAACUUUCAGGUCAAAUACCAUCCUCCAUUUGUAACUUGACAUCCCUUGAGUAUCUUGUUCUCUCAAACAACACUUUGGAUGGAUCAAUUCCACAAUGCUUUGGAAACUUGAGCUCUUUGGCCAUCUUUCAUUUAAAUGAAAAUCAGUUUAAUGGUCUCAUUCCAUCAACAUUUAGCAAGGGGUGUAUCUUGGUCAUAAUUUGAAUGUAAUAAAUUGCAAGGACCAUUACCUAAAUCCUUGAUCAAUUGCCGAAGUCUACAAGGCCUCGACGUUGGAAAUAAUAGAAUAAAGACGAAUUUCCCUUUUGGAUGGAACCUUCCAGACCUUCGAGUGUUGGUCAUGAGGUCUAACAUGUUUUAUGGCAACAUGUCACUUCCUUCACAAACCAAGAUUCCAUUUGCUAAUUUGCAAGUUUUAGAUAUAUCUCGGAAUAGAUUAGUGGGAUCUCUACCUCAAAGAUAUUUCAAGAAUUUUAAAGCAAUGAUAGAGGAAAAUGAGACAAUCACAUCAAAUGAAUUUGAAAAUUAUGUGGAGAUGAGGCUCACCUUGAAAGGUUUGGAUCAAUUAUUACAGAGAUUGUUGUCAGCCUUUACAACAAUUGACUUAUCCUCCAAUAGGUUUUCUGGGAGUAUUCCACAUUCCAUAGGAAAUCUUAAGAUUCUCAAAUACUUAAAUUUGUCCCACAAUAACCUCAUCGGAAAUAUACCUCCAUCUCUUGGAAAUAUGAAUGAACUUGAGUCCUUGGACUUGUCAGUGAACAAGUUGAAUGGAGAAAUUCCAAGUGAAUUGACAAGGUUGACAUUUCUUGCGAAAUUAAACCUUUCAAUGAAUAAUCUUGUGGGGCGAAUACCACAGUCUAAGCAGUUUUCCACAUUUGAGAAUGAUUCAUAUGUGGGAAACUUGGAACUGUGUGGAGUUCCGUUCACGAGAAAAUGCAACAAGGAGAAGGGACAACGGCCAGAAGAAGAAGAAGAUGAUGAUGAUGAUGAUGAGUCUGGAUUUAUAGAUGGAUUUGGUUGGAGAAGUGUGGUGAUGGGAUAUGGAAGUGGAUUCAUAGUGGGAAUUGGAAUUGGUUACAUUAUUAUUAGAAAUGGAAGGCCCAGAUGGUUAGCUGAAUUCUUUUUUGGCGUUGGAUAUAAUUAUAAGAUGAAGAAGAGAUGCAGCAAUGCUACACCAACACGCCGCAGGAGAACUUAAUUGAAGCCCAAAAGAAUUCAUUUGUUCUUCAGUUGGUGUGUUUUGGUCGAUUUGAACUUUGGAGUUUAUGAAAUAUUGUUGUAUGUUCGAAUUUGCGAAGUUUUAAUUUUAUCUUGUUUCGAUAUAUUUUUUAGAUUAAAUCAGUUUUGUGAUUUUAUUUGGUAAAUUUUUAGAUUUGUUAAAAAUGACUUAGUUUUAGUGACAUAGAACACUUGAUUGUCCACGCUAAUAAUUUUUUUAGAUCAUUCUGUUUGAGCAGAUUUUUGCACGCCUACGAACUGUUUGAUAAAAGUCCGAAAUGAAUUCUCGGAGUUGUUCAGGUUAACGCAUAAUUCGCUCACCAAAGCUAACGCAUACUUUUAACAAUUUAAAUAGAUAUUUAUUGGGAAAAUUCUUAAAUCAAAUGAUAGUAUUUAGUUAAAUAAAUAUAUAUUUACAAUUUCUUAAUUUCCUAUAACAUGCCCAACAUAUUCUACCCGAGUUGACGCUACAUUAAAUGUAAACACUUUUAGGAGCUUAUAAGCUCUUGAUGAUGUUUGACAAAAUGAGCUAUUACACAACUUAUAAGGUAACCAAGAGUAUGGUAUUCCGUGUGCGUGUGUUGCCAAGCAGUAAGAGCUUAAUGCCUAAGGCCAAAAGUCUUGGAUUCGAGUCCCUUGUGGCGCGACCUUUUAAAUUUCUUUAUUUAUAAAAAAUAAGAUUUAAGUUAUUGCACCUAAAUAAUUUUUUGAUAAAUUCAAAAAGAACUUCUUAUUUUUUAAAUCUUAUAAGCAACAUUUAUUUUAUAAAAGUUACCCUACUAUUAUUUUUUAUUUCUAUCAUAUACUCUUUCAAUUUUAUAUCCCUAACUUUGUCGAUAUUAAACUCAUCAUUUUCUGCAUCAAAAAUCACCAAAUUAUAUAUUAAAUUACAUUAAAGCACAAAAUAAUCUAAGAAUAUGAGCAACUCAAAUACACACUUUAAGUUUCAAAUUAUCUUACCCAGGAUGCCAUAUCGUAUCUCAACUUCCUCCUCUUUCUCAUAAAACAACUUUGUUUUGACUAUUCCGCCACUUACUUCUUAUUUUAUACAAGUAAACAACUUUGUUUUCUUUUAAGGGGUGCCUUUACUUUGGUGUUAAAAUUUUCAUUGGAAAAUGAUGGAUAAGAAAAGAUGAGAAAAUAUUAUUUUUUCUUCUUUUUUUAUGUUAUGUUUAUUAGAGAUGAAAAGAUGAGAGAGUAUUGGAGAGAAAAAAAUGUGAAAAUGAGCUGCCCAAGAAAAUAUUUGAUUCUGCCCGGAGAAAAUUUUACAUUAUAGUAAAUAUAUGAAAACGGUGAAAAAUAUGUGAAAAUAUAUUUUUUUUCUCUCAUUUUCCAUCAAAGUAAACGCACCCUAACAGGUAACUGUGAUUCACGUUAUAGUAGACAAACUCAUUUAAAUAUCUCGCACAUGGAACUAGAAAUCAAAAAUCAUUCUUGCAUAAUUGAGUUUGGGUCAAUGUUCACAACUUGACUUGUGCCUACACAAAUUGGCAGCAUCAUGUGUGACACACAUUUUGUCUUUUUCUUCAGCAAAGUCCAUUCAUUACUGAAGCUUCUUAAUUUCAUUUUUCAUUUGUGGGACCCAAAAAAUGCGGCUAUAUUUGUAGUAGUUUCAUUUUCACUCGCUUUUGCCUCCAAAACUCUUAUUUUCUUCUUAAUUCUUUGCCCCAUUCACACUCCAACUUAAUUAAUUAAAAAUUGAUUGGAGAAAUUCAUACAUUUUUGCCGUAGGACUUGGGAAAGAUUAUUUUUAGAUUUCAAUAUAAACAGCACAACUACAAUAUUAGCACUCUGCAUUCACAAUAUGAAGAGAGUUUCCACAUUUUUCCUACUUUCCCUACUCAUGGGGUUUUCUUGCCUUAGCCUUGCUAACACAGAUCAAAUCAAAAGUGAUGAAUCAUCACUUCUUGCCUUCAAAUCCCGCAUCACUUCAGAUCCUUCCAAUAUUUUUAAAAAUAAUUGGACCACCGGAACCUCUAUCUGCACGUGGAUGGGAGUUACUUGCGAUUCACGUUAUAGUAGGGUGACUGCUUUAGAUCUCUCGAAUAUGAGACUCGAAGGCAGCAUCCCACCAGAAAUCAUAAAUCUUUCUUUUCUUGUUUCUCUAGAUUUGAGUGUGAACUCUUUUCAUGGUCCCCUACCAAAGGAUAUUUGCAGGCACAACAACCUUCGAAGACUCAAAGAACUUUACUUGUACUCCAACAAAUUGAAGGGGGAGAUACCAUUGAGCUUGGGUGAAUGUCCACAACUUGAGAUUAUUGACUUGUCAGACAACAACUUUGGUGGACAUGUGCCUGCACAAAUUGGGAACAUCACACAGCUUAAGGAAUUACGCCUUAGUUGGAACAAUUUGACAGGUAUGGUCUUAUCUCAAUAAUGAGAAUUUAACUCGUUCGAGUUUUAAAAAAAAUUAGGCCACUAUUUUAGGGUGUGGUUUGAAAAAAUAGGCCAAUUUUUUCGAACUUGCAAAAAUAGGUCAAUUAUUUUAAAUUUUGACGUCCGUAAGCCACAUUUGAUUCUAAUCGGGCUAUUUAGGGCCAAAUAUGGCCUAUUGAUGCCGAAUUGGGGCAAAUGUGGCCAAAGAUGCUAAAAUUUAAAGUAAUUGACCUAUUUUUGCAAGUUCAAAAAAUAUUGACCUAUUUUUUUGCAAAUCGUUAUAAGAUAGUGACUGCAAAAAAUUUUAAACUCAACUGGUUUGAUCCCACUUUUCCGUUUCUAUUGGGAUUUCAUGAAAUGACUUGAUGAUAUAUGCCAUUCAGUUUCGUAUCUGACUUUACUCAAGACGUUCUAAAGUUCCAACUUUUCAAAGAAUUUUCAAAAAAUUAAUUAAGAGAAACUCCCAAGACAUUUUAGUUUACUCAGAAAAUUUGAAAACCACAUUUCCCCAACUUUUACUUGGUGAAAACAUGACUAAACAAUAAGGCUAAAAACAAGGAUUUUUACUUAUAGUUUGUCCAGAUACAUUCAAAGUGAAGUUUCUUAGCUUCGAUCUACGUACUUAAAUCUUAACCAAAUUUCAAUCAACUUCAUUCCAUACAUUCAUAAACAUAAUAGAUACAAGAUUUCAACAACUUCCUUCAAAAAUUAUGAAAUCAAGAUGCACAAAUCUUGCAAUUCUUACAUCUUCACACAUGUUUCUCAUAUCAUAUUGAAACUCAUACUUUCAUCUCCCAACCAAUCGAACCACGUAUUUCACUUAAUAUUGUUAUGAUGGUUAUACUUAACAAUAUGGAACUUGACUUUGAUGACUUCAUUAUUCUCCAGGUACUAUUCCGAAAGAGAUUGGAAAUCUUCAUAGUUUACAGAUCAUGCGUUGGGUUCCAACAAACUUAGCGGAUCAAUCCCGAGAGAAGUGUGGAACAUGACAGCUCUUAGCAGCUUACUGCUCGACAAUAAUAGUUUAAGUGGUAUGAUUUAUUGUUUCCCUAGCACAAGUUAGUUCCUCAAGCUAGCUCGUGAGUUAAUUUCUUUUUGUUGAUGUAUUUGGAUAUUUGUAGGAGUCAUUCCACAAGAGAUUCACCAUCUUCAUAAUUUACAAUGGUUGGCCUUGAGCUUGAACAAGUUGUCGGGCACUUUGCCAUCAUCAAUUUUCACAUGUCUUCCUUGACAGUGAUUCGCUUAUCAAGAACAUGUUUAGCGGGGCAUUGCCUUCAGAAAUUGGAAACAACAAGACAACAGCACUACAUGUUUUACACCUUAAAAACAAUACUUUAAGUGGUAAGAUUUCUAUCUCUUGGAGAUAUAGCAUUUACAGCUAUUGUGAGACCUUUAAGUUCUCAAAUCUAUAUUUGACUUUUCCAUAUAGCUGGUACGAGUCAUAUAUUGUGUUGUUAAUUUAUAUUAUGCAUAAUUUCUUCUCUUUUCAGGGCUAUUACCAUCUACUAUUGGAAACCUAUCAAGUUUGUACUACUUAAAUCUUGGUUCCAACAAGUUUAAUGGUGAGCAUUCAUCCUCCAUCUGCAACUUGACAUAUAUAGAGUAAAAUAGUCGAUUUUAGUAAGAUAUUGCUCUGUGCAUUUAUAUCUACUUAUCUAUUAUAUGAAUAUUUAUUUUUAUUCCAACACAGUUACAUAAACAUAUCAAAUAAAAUUAGUGGCAUGUCAUCAUCAUACUUAAUAAUUACAUAUAGCUCAAUCUCCUAACUAAAUCAUGCAUUUUACUUAGUAAUGUUAUUUUACUUAGUAAUUUAUUAUUCGGACACAAGUUUAGUAGUAACAUGUUGACUUGUAGUUGGUAGCUAGGAGUCAUACAUUGUGUUGUUAUUUUAUGUCAUGCAUAUUUUAUCCUCCUUUCAGGUCCAAUACCAUCUACCAUUGGAAACCUAUCAAAUUUGUACUACUUGAAUCUUGGUUCUAACAAAUUUCAUGGUGAGCUUUCAUCUUCCAUCUGCAGCAUGACAUUCCUUGAAAUACUUUUACUCUCUAGUAUAUAAUAGUUUUGAAGAAUCAAUUGCACAAGGUUUUCGAAACUUUAGCAAACUUUGAAUUUCAUUUAAACAAACCAGUUUAGUUGCCUCAUUCCAUCAACAUUUACCUAAAGAAUUUUAUGUGGUAAUAAAUUGCAAGGACCAUUACCUAAAUCCUUGAUCAAUUGCAAAAGUCUACAAGCAAUUUUAUUGGAUAGAUAUAUUUAUUUAUAAGCCCUAUCAAAUAGCUAUAAAUAUAUAUCAAAUAGAUUUAGUGUAAUAUUUAAUGAAUUAAUAUAUUUUUAUAAAUAUAUAAUAUUUUAUUUAUAAAAUUACCCUUAAAAUAAAAUAUGUAAUAAGAAUAUAAUAUGCAAUCUAUAUUUUAUGCCCAAAACACUUUUUAUAUUAGUAUAGAUAAAGAAAUUUGAUUUUUAUCCUUUUAUGUCUUUCAAAUAGUAUGUUUGUUACCAACUUUCAGGUCAAUUACCAUCUACCAUUGUGAAUAUUCUACCAUUGAAUUUUCUGCAACUCUCUUCCAACAAAUUAAUCGGAGAGAUUCCACUCUCCCUCUGUAACAUGACAUCCCUUCGGUAUCUUCUUCUCUCAACAAACAAUUUGGAAGGAAUAAUUCCACAAUGCUUUGGAAACUUCAGCUAUUUGGCCAUCUUUCAUUUAAAUGAAAAUAAGUUUAGUGGUCUCCUUCCAUCAACAUUUAGCGAGAGGUGUAGUCUUGUUUCCAUCAAUUUGAAUGGUAAUAAAUUGCAAGGACGAUUACCUAAAUCCUUGAUCAAUUGCGAAAGCCUACAAGCACUCGACAUCGGAAAUAAUAGAAUACAAGAUGAAUUUCCUCUCUGGAUGGAUGUCCUUCCAGACCUUCGAGUGUUGGUCUUGAAGUCUAACAAGUUUUAUGGGAACAUAUCACUUCCUUCACAAACCAAGAUUUCAUUUCCUAAUUUGCUAAGUUUUAGAUAUAUCUCGGAAUAGAUUCGUGGGUUCUUUGCCUCAAAUAUAUUUCAAGAAUUUCAGAGCAAUGAAAGAGGAAAAUGAGAAAAUCACAUCAAAUGAGAUUGAAAAUUAUGUGGAGAUGAGGCUCACCUUGAAAGGUCUGGAUCAAUUAUUACGGAGAUUGUUGUCGGACUUUACAACAAUUGACUUAUCCUCCAAUAGGUUUUCUGGGAGUAUUCCAAAUUCCAUAGGAAAUCUUAAAUUUCUCAAAUACUUGAAUUUGUCCCACAAUAACCUCAUAGGAAAUAUACCUUCGUCACUUGGAAAUAUGAAUGAACUUGAAUCCUUGGACUUGUCAGUGAACAAGUUGAAUGGAGAAAUCCCAAGUGAAUUGACUAGGUUGACAUUUCUUUCAACAUUAAACCUUUCAAUGAAUAAUCUUGUUGGACAAAUACCACAAUCUACUCAGUUUUCCACAUUUGAGAAUGAUUCAUAUAUGGGAAACGGGGGAUUGUGUGGACUUCCAUUGACCAAACAAUGCAAUGAGGAGAAUGGGCAGCAGAUGCAGCUAGAAGAAGAUGAUGAUGAUGAAGAUGAUAAGUAUGGAUUUAUAGAUGGGUUUGGAUGGAGAAGUGUGGUGAUGGGAUAUGGAAGUGGAUUCAUAGUUGGGAUUGGAAUUGGUUACAUUAUUAUUAGAAAUGGAAGGCCAAGAUGGUUAGUGGAAUUCUUUUUUGGAGUUGGAUAUAAUUAUAAGAUGGAGCUGAGACGUAGCAGAGCUACACCAACACCAACAACACGCGGGAGAACUUAAUUGAAGCCCAAAUCAAUUGUGUGCUUUACUUGUGCCGAUUUGUGUUUUCUUUUAUCUUUUUUACGUUUUGAAUUGCUACUUAGUGUGUUUUUCUCGAUUUCAACUUUAGAGUUUAUGAAAUGUUGUUGUAUAUUCGAAUGUGUUAAGUUUUAGUUUCAUCUCGUUCUCAUUUUGAUCUAGUUGACAACUAGAUCAUUGUGUUGGAACUCUCUUUUAACAUAAAACCGGUGUCUUUUAAGUGAUGUGUAUAAGAGAUUUUGCUGUAGCGGUAAAAGAAGUUUAAUCGGGUUUUUGGAGAGCUUCUAUUCAGGUAUAAAAUAAUACUUCAUCCGUCCACAAAAAAUAAUCAUAGAAGGAGAUGACACGGGUUUUAAUAAAAAUAGUUGAGUGUAUUAAUUGUAAAUGGAGAAAAGGUCCUACUUCAUUACCUUAAAUUUUCACAUUUUUUUGCCACUCUCAAUAUUUUCAAUAAUUUUUUCUCCACUCUCAAUAUAUUCAACAACUUUAUUUCUCCACUCUCUAUAGAAUCUAACUACUUAACUAGAUAAAUAAAAAUAAUAAUAACAAUGACUCACUAACAUAAAAUAAACAAGGUACAUAUCACGUAAACUUUAAGUUCUAUAUAUAUGUUAUCAUACUAUAGUUAUAAUAAACCUUAUACAAAUAAAUAAUUUUGGGACCUAAGAAUUUUAUCGAUGAUCAAUCGUAAUUUAUUAAUGUAUCGAUAAAUUAACAACUUUUUAGUUUAUAAAGUAUUUUCUUGAUUUCAGAAAUUAUGAUUAAAUCAAGUUAUAAUGAGUAAAAAUAAAGAGAGACAAUAUUUAAAUUAAAUAAAUAGAUGUAUCUAUCAAGUUAUUGUGGUUGAUAUUACGGGAGAUCAUAAUGAUGAUCAAGCUGAAGAUGAUUCAACCACAAAUUCAAAUUGUAUAAAGAUAAAAUAGUAUUCAUAAUUGUAAUAUUUUAAUAAUAUUAAUGGGGCCUAUAUAUGCAAUAAUAUUGUGCAUCGGGCCGGAAUCCAGUCAUCGAGACAUUAAUCAAUAAGAAAAUUUUGACUUUAGGACGCAAAACAUUAAAAGGAUCAUAGGUUUGGGUGAUAAGUAAUAUUUUCCAUAUAUGUUUAAAUCUACCAUUAAACUAACUUUUUGUGAAGUUUUGGAUAUUUGUAGGAAUUAUUCCACAAGAGAUACAUCAUCUUGAUAAUUUAGGAGCUAGUGUUGGACUUGAGUUUGAACAAGUUGUCAGGCACUUUGCCACCAACCAUUUUCAACAUGUCUUCCUUGAUUGAUAUGGAUUGACUUAUCAAGUAACACACUUAGCGGGGCAUUGCCUUCGGAAAUUGGGAACAUGAAAGUAGCACUAGCGUUUUUAAACCUUCAAAACAAUGCUUUCACUCUUAUAGAGUUUUACACAUAUUCAAAUGUUUCUUAAUUUUUAUGUAUAUAUUGGAUUUACAGCCAUUGUGAGACCUAUGUACUUCUUCUCAAACCUAUAUUUGACUUUUCCAUAUAGCAUUUACAACUAUGUUCUUCUCAAAUCUAUAUUGUUCUUUGACUUUCAUUGAUUACUGGAAUAAAUAUCAUUAUACUUAAAAUAGUAUACAGCUCAAUCUCCCAACCAAUCGAAUCACGUAUUUUACUUAUUAUUCUAAUGAUCGUUAUACUAAACAAUAUGAAACUUGACUGAUGACUUCAUUAUUCUCCAGGUACUAUUCCGAGUGAAAUUGGGAACAUGGAAGCACUACAAUUUUUAUACCUUGGAAACAAUGGUUUAACCGGUAAGAUUUCUUAUUGUUGUAGGGUUUUAAACCUAUUCAACAUGUUUAUUUCCAAUUGGAACCAUUUUCAGCACGCUUGUCUCCUUAUCCAAAAAGCAUAUAUAAUUACGGAGCUCGGUGAACUUUUUUGUACGAUUUAUUGUUCUUUGUCUUCCAUUGAUUAGUGGAAUAUACUCCCUCCGUCCACCAAUUGAUAUCCUAUUUUCCUUUUUGGUCCGUGCACUAAUUUAUGUUCUACCCAUUUAUAGUAACUCUUUAUAAUUUUUUAAUUGGUGGGUUCCAAUAAACAAUACAAUUUUUCUCCACUCAACUAAUAAACAAUACACUUUGUGGGUCCCUUUGUCCACGCAACUAAUAAAUAAUAUAUUUUGUGGGUCCCUUUCUCCACUCACUACACUUUUUCUUAAAACCCGUAUUUCCUCCCCUACGUCAUAAAUUAGUGGACGGAGAGAAUAUAUCAUUAUACUUAAUACUAUACAGCUCAAUCUCCCAACCCAUUACUAGUUGUGUUUUUCACAAAAUGUCUAGUUUAAAUAACAGACAAAUGUUGGUAAAAUGCUUUGUGCAUUUUUAGAUAUAAAGAAAUUUGAUUCAUAUCCUUCUCUAUCUUUCAAAUAAUAUAUUUGAAGGUCUUGUACUAACUUUCAGGUCAAAUACCAUCAACCAUUGGGAAUAUUCUACCAUUGAUUGUUCUACAACUCUAUUCCAACAAAUUAAUCGGUGAGCUUUCAUCCUCCAUCUAUAACUUGACAUCUCUUGAUGCUCUUGUUCUCUCAAAUAUCACCUUGGAAGGAACAAUUCCACGAUGCUUUGGAAACUUGAACUCUUUGACCAUCUUUCAUUUAAAUGAAAAUCAGUUUAGUGGUCUCAUUCCAUCAACAUUUAGAGAGGUGUGUAAUUUUGUGUCCAUCAAUUUGAAUGGUAAUAAAUUGCAAGGAACAUUACCUAAAUCCCUGAUCAAUUGCGGAAGUCUACGAAGCCUCGACGUUGGAAAUAAUAGAAUACAAGAUGAAUUUCCCUUCUGGAUGGAAGUCCUUCCACAGCUUGAAGUGUUGGUCUUGAGGUCUAACAAGUUUUACGGUAACAUGUCACUUCGGGCUAAUUGCCGCUAAAUCCAUGUACUUUUUCAAUUUUUGAUUUUUUCUCAUGGCAAAAAAAAAUCUACUUUAAAAUCCAUGAAUUGCAAAAUUGAUUGGAAAUUUCCCCCGCAUCCGAUUUCCGGCCAUCAGCGAAAUGAGUCAGAUCCUAUGUGGCGAAAUUCAUUCCGGGUGUUAAGUUUAAUGAAUGACAUGGACGCCACAUAAGAUUUUAAAAACUGAAAAAAAUUAUAGGAAAUCUUAAGAUUCUCAAAUACUUGAAUUUAUCCCAGAAUAACCUCAUUGGAAAUAUACCUUCAUCUCUUGCAAAUAUGAGUGAACUAGAAUCUUUGGACUUGUCAGUGAACAAGUUGGAUGGAGAAAUUCCAAGUGAAUUGACAGGGUUGACAUUUCUUGCGAAAUUAAACCUUUCAACGAAUAAUCUUGUGGGGCAAAUACCACAAGCCCAAAAGAAUUGUUAAACUGGGGCCUUCUGGCUCCGCCAUUGGUUACAACAAUACAACAGACUUCGUUGUCAACUUCGUUUUUGGCUUUAUAAGAUACUAGCUAGUAACCUGUUGAAAUUUGAUGGAGUAUUAUUUUUUUUGUAAUGAAUUUAUCUUUACAUAACUUUUGAAAUUAAUUUAAUUUAAUGUAAUAGAGUUCAAAUUAUAUUAAUCUCAACCACCUAUAUAAAUCAAAUCUUAAUAUUUUGUUGGGAGAAUAGAAAUGUUAUUUUAUACUAUAAGUUUUUAUUUGAUUAAGUUUUGUAAAAGGUCGAUGUGGAAUUGAAAAUUUUAGAAAAAUGAGAAGAAAAAAGUGUGUAAAUUAGAUGGAUGAUAUGACAGAGGGAUUGGUUGUGCCACAUUGGUUGUUAAUUGUAUAUAGACAACUUAUGUGUGUAUUUUAGUUGUUCAAUAUUCUUGAAUUUUUUGGCUUUAAUGAAAUUUAAUAUACACAAUUAGGUUAGGUUGUUUUUUUUUUUUUGUACAGGAAUUGAAGAGAUCAAUGUCAACUGAAUCGAAUGAAUGAUGAAGAGCUAAUGUUGGGCUACAAAGCCUACAAUGUUGAUUAGUCUUACUUCCUUGUUCGUUUGGGAUUCUAGUGACAUUAUAGAGAUAAGCUUUUACUUUUUAUGCAUAAGAGGAAUAGUUUCUGCAUCUGACAUGGUUAUUCGUUUGGGAUUCUAGUGACAUUAUUCUGGUUUGUAUCUUCAAUUUAGUAGAUUGUUAGUUAUGCUUUCUUUGUUCAAUUUAAUUAUGUUUUAUUUCGAUAGCAUGAGUAGCAAAUUUAUUAAUUCAGUGAGUAUAAUGAAACACUAGUCUAAAAUCUGUGACCUAAUUGUUUUAUUGAUUGAUACAAUUGGAUGAAUUAUUUACAUCUCAAUCAGAAGAAGCUUUUAGUUUAAGCAGGGAUAUUCGUGCUUAUAAUAGAAUAUUGUCAUUUACUUCGUUCAGUGUAAAAUUGGAUAAAGAACUCGCAUCUGUAAGACGAAGAGUUUAUUCUUUACAAGCACAAGGAAUGGUUUAUCAUGAUCUUCCUGAAUUGAUCCACAAUAUACAUGUAUUUUCAAUAAUACUUUUACGACACACAAAGUGAGGUUGAGGACCGAAUUAACAUAAGAUGCACGUAGAAAUUUUAGAGUUCAACAUGUAUGAAAAAUUCUUACAAAUUAAUUUAUGUAAGAAUUUACUGGUGUUUUUGAUAAAAUUAUUUGAAUUUGAAUAAAUUUCCUCGUUACCAAGAGCUUAUUAUUAUUAUUAUUAUUAUUAUUAUUAUUAUUAUUAUUAUUAUUCAAAAUAACUCGAAUUCAAAUUGCAACAAUUGCUCUAUUUUAAGGGGGCAGUUGCGUAGAGCUUGGUUUUAGAUUGCAAAGUGUGAAUUACCCUUUAUUAUAUCUUAUUCAAAGACACAAAAAGGGGGAUUUAAAGUCUCCCAAAUCUAUUAUAAAAAUAGAGAAUAUAUUCUACUUUUGCAUGUUAUUCUACCACUUCAAAUAAACAAACAGGUUUUGUUGUUUAUUCAACUGACGUAGCCCUCUGAUCACGGCCAAAACUUAUAAUGCUAUUUUAAUAUGAAUAUUAGGGUCAUUUUUUAAGAUUUGGGUUAGACUCAAUCUCCCAAAUCGAACAGAAAGUAGCUUUCCAUAUAAAUAGUCUUAGUUGCUUUUGCCUCCAAAAAUCACUCUUUAUAGUUCCACAAUUAUUUUCUUCGUCUUUCCAAUGGGAAAAAUAUUAUUUUAGCUUUGAAUAAAAGGAAACUCUGCAUUUCCUACUUUCAUCANAACAGGCUCGAGCUCGAUUCGUUUAAAUAUUCAGGUGUCUGAACGUGAUUCGAACUUUUAUCUUGUUAAUCGAGUUUAGCUCGUUACUCACUUACCGAGCUCAAGCUCAGUUCGAAUUCAGCUCAUGUGAUACUCAAUAAUAUCGAAUUCGAGCUUAAGCUCGAGCUCGAACUCGAUGUGUUUAAAGUUUGUGUACUAACUCAAUUGAAGGUUCGUGAAUAAACUCGCAAAUAUAUUCGUGAUUAAUCGCAUUUGAAUAUGUUCGCAAGCUAAACGAGCCGAGUGCUGCCAAGUUUGAGCUCGGUUCAAAAAAAUUAUCGAGCUCAAAAUCAAGCUCAAACUUGUUUACUAUCAAACCGAUCAAGUUUGGGAUCAUAUUCAGCAAUGGCUCAACAUCAAAACGGCAAAGCCACAAGGUCUCUUUCAACAUUUUUUGUCUUUUACUUAUGGUGGCAAAGGUAAGAAAAUCAGAAAAUUUUUGAAAGCUUUAUUGGUUGGAACAAUUUGGCUGCUGUGGAGUUAUAGAAAUGAAAGUAGGUUUGAAGGAAAGGAGUGGGAUCCACAAAAACUUGUGUUGGAGGUUAAAGGUAGACUUUGGAGCUGGAACAAGACUUUCCAAAUGGUGGAAGUGAAUGUUCCGUUUUCUUUGUGGUGCUCCCAAGAGUACACACUCCCCUUUUUGUAACUGUUUUGGUACUACUGAUACCGAGUUUUUCAAUAUAUUGCACUUUUAUUGAUAAAAAAAAAAAAGUUGAGUCUCGAAUAGAUCGCGGGUAGCUCUAUUUAUUUAUAAUCCUAACCGUUGGUGUUAAUGUUUGACGGUGAUACAUAUAUGCACGAAAGGACCAAGAAAAUAUUGGCCGGCGACUGACUUAUCUCACUCCCCACCUAAUUCGGCUUCCACGCGGCCUUCAAUCAACUCAAAUUACUACUUAGUAGUGCCACCCACCUUUCCCUUGACCUUCUCACGCAAAUCUAUACUAAUAGAAAAAGAGCCUAAGCAUUUUAUGGGACAACUUGUGGAUUGCCUAUUUUACCCCUAUUAUUUAUUUUGUAUUAUAUAUUUAUAAAAUCAAUCUAUUUGAUAUAUAUUUAUUUGUCACCCAAAUCUAUAAAUAAUAUUUUAUAUUAUAAAACCAAACAUAUACAUAAAAUCGUUGUCAAAUUAAUUAGAUAAAAAAUUUCUUCUCUACUUAGGUCCAAUAUUGAUGUUUCCCUCAUCUAAUCUAAUUAUAAUUUCUAAAUAAAUCCCUAAUAUAAUUGGUAUUUACAUCACAAUUCUUUUUUCCCUAAAAGAAGUUCAUCAAUUAAACCAACGAUCAAGGGGAUUCCAAUAUCUUAUCGCAUUAGAAUUCUAUUUAAUUUAUUACAUAUUUUAUUUUAAGGUUUUUUACAGAUUAUAUAUUUAUAAGAAUAUAUUAUUAUUAAUAUACACUAAAUCUAUGUGUAUAUAUCUAUAGCUAUUGAUAAGGCUUAUAAAUAAAUAUAUUCAAUCCAAUAAAAUUUAUUAAUGAAAGUAAUAAAUUAAUAAUUUUCUAAAAUAAUAGAUUAUUAAAUAAAAUAACAUUAAUUACACGUACAACGUACGUUCUUUCUGCUAGUUACUCAAAAUGACUCGAAUAUUCAAAUUGCAACAAUUGCUCUAUUUUCAGGGGGCAAUUGCGUAGAGCUUGGUUUUAGAUUGCGAAGUGUGAAUUACCCUUUAUUAUAUCUUAUUCAAAGAUCACAAAAAGGGGGAUUUAAAGUCUCCCAAAUCUAUUAUAAAAAUAGAGAAUAUCUUCUACUUUUGCAUGUUAUUCUACCACUUCAAAUAAACAAACAGGUUUUGUUGUUUAUUCAACUGACGUAGCCCUCUGAUCACGGCCAAAACUUAUAAUGCUAUUUUAAUAUGAAUAUUAGGGUCAUUUUUUAAGAUUUGAGUUAGACUCAAUAUCCCAAAUCGAACAGAAAGUAGCUUUCCAUAUAAAUAGUCUUAGUUGCUUUUGCCUCCAAAAAUCACUCUUUAUAGUUCCACAAUUAUUUUCUUCGUCUUUUCCUCAUUCACACUCCAAUUAAUUAUUUUCUCCGGCUUCGUCGCUCCAAUGGGAAAAUAUUAUUUUAGCUUUGAAUAAAAGGAAACUCUGCAUUUCCUACUUCAUCAUUAAUCCUUCCCAUUUGCCCAUCAUAUCCACACACACUCUAUAUAUACAUGUAUAUGGAUUUCAUAGUUCAAUAUUCUAAAAAAUUACUACUGUCAAAAUCAAGCCAAAAAAUGCCAAAAUCUCCCCAUUUUCUCAUCCUUGCACUACUCUUACCAAUCCAUUAUUUGAUGGAUUAUAGCUCAGCCAAAACCGAUAUCAACACCGAUCGUUCUUCACUUCUUGCCUUGAAAUCUCAAAUCACUUUAGAUCCUCAAAAUAUAUUGACCCAAAAUUGGAGCACUGAAGCCAGUGUUUGUAGUUGGAUAGGAGUUACUUGUGAUUCACACUACAAUAGGGUGACUAACUUGAAUAUAUCGCACAUGGGUCUUGUCGGAACCCUCCCACCAGAAAUCGGGAAUCUUUCUUUCCUCGUCUCUUUAAAUGCGAGUCAUAACUCUUUUCAUGGCCCCAUUCCCCCAUCUAUCUUCAACAUGUCAUUUCUAGAAGUUUUGGAACUAAAGAAUAAUAGUUUGUCUAGUAGUUUACCUCUUGAUAUGUGCAUACACAAUCUGCAUAGACUCAAGAGGCUUCGUAUAUCUUACAACGUGUUGUAUGGGGAAAUACCAUCGAGUUUGGGGCAGUGUUCACAGCUUGAGUAUCUUUCUUUGUACAACAACAAUUUCACUGGAUUUG